CCUACGGGAGGCAGCAGUGAGGAAUAUUGGUCAAUGGACGAGAGUCUGAACCAGCCAAGUAGCGUGAAGGAUGACUGCCCUAUGGGUUGUAAACUUCUUUUAUAUGGGAAUAAAAUGUUCCACGUGUGGGAUUUUGUAUGUACCAUAUGAAUAAGGAUCGGCUAACUCCGUGCCAGCAGCCGCGGUAAUACGGAGGAUCCGAGCGUUAUCCGGAUUUAUUGGGUUUAAAGGGUGCGUAGGUGGAUUGUUAAGUCAGUUGUGAAAGUUUGCGGCUCAACCGUAAAAUUGCAGUUGAAACUGGCAGUCGUGAGUACAGUAGAGGUGGGCGGAAUUCGUGGUGUAGCGGUGAAAUGCUUAGAUAUCACGAAGAACUCCGAUUGCGAAGGCAGCUCACUGGACUGCAACUGACACUGAGGCUCGAAAGUGUGGGUAUCAAACAGGAUUAGAUACCCCUGUAGUC
rnacentral:rRNA from 1 species